rnacentral:rRNA from 1 species
CCUACGGGAGGCAGCAGUGGGGAAUUUUGGACAAUGAGGGCAACCCUGAUCCAGCCAUGCCGCGUGAGUGAAGAAGGCCUUCGGGUUGUAAAGCUCUUUCGGCCGGGAAGAAAUCGUAUGGGUUAAUACCCUGUGCGGAUGACGGUACCGGCAUAAGAAGCACCGGCUAACUACGUGCCAGCAGCCGCGGUAAUACGUAGGGUGCGAGCGUUAAUCGGAAUUACUGGGCGUAAAGCGUGCGCAGGCGGUUUUGUAAGACAGGCGUGAAAUCCCCGGGCUCAACCUGGGAACUGCGCUUGUGACUGCAAGGCUAGAGUAUGGCAGAGGGGGGUGGAAUUCCACGUGUAGCAGUGAAAUGCGUAGAGAUGUGGAGGAACACCAAUGGCGAAGGCAGCCCCCUGGGCCAAUACUGACGCUCAUGCACGAAAGCGUGGGUAGCAAACAGGAUUAGAUACCCUGGUAGUCCACGCCCUAAACGAUGUCAACUAGGUGUUGGGUGGGUAAAACCAUUUAGUACCGUAGCUAACGCGUGAAGUUGACCGCCUGGGGAGUACGGCCGCAAGGUUAAAACUCAAAUGAAUUGACGG